rnacentral:rRNA from 1 species
AGGAUGAACGCUAGCGGCAGGCCUAAUACAUGCAAGGCGAGGGGGCAGCAAUGUCACCGUCGUACGGGUGCGUAACGCGUAUGCAACCUACCUUCAACUGGGGGACAGCCCGGGGAAACCCGGAUUAAUACCGCAUAACACACGGGGCCGGCAUCGGUUCCUUUGUUAAAGAUUUAUUGGUUGAAGAUGGGCAUGCGUCCGAUUAGCUAGUUGGCGGGGUAACGGCCCACCAAGGCUACGAUCGGUAGGGGGGCCGGGAGGUCGAUCCCCCACACGGGCACUGAGACACGGGCCCGACUCCUACGGGAGGCAGCAGUAGGGAAUAUUGGGCAAUGGAUGCAAGUCUGACCCAGCCAUGCCGCGUGCCGGAUGAAGGCCCUCUGGGUCGUAAACGGCUUUUAGUACGGGAAGAACCCCGCCAUGCGUGGGCGGCUGACGGUACCGUAAGAAUAAGCACCGGCUAACUCCGUGCCAGCAGCCGC